AGUAUCUCCACCUGCAGUCCAGUCACAAAUCCCAUGACCUCACCCUGACCAAUCAGGAGAGUCCAGAUUGGCUACCUGGUCUGAUGGAUUGAGUUCUUUCCAUUUGAGCCCUGUGAUCACAGCUGAGGACUCAAGUGAUGAACUCUCUACAUCAGGAGACACAAGGUGGCGACUUUCAGGUGUGGCCUGAGACAGCAGAAGUAGGAGCUCUGCAGGAAGUCCAGAUGGCAGUGUGCCCACUUCCCCAGCAUGAAGCGUCUGUGUCCAGUACAGGAAGAGGGAAGUGACAGCAAGCUGGAGGAAAAUGGGUACCACUUCGGAUGGAAUGCUGGGACAUUGCUCCACUUUGGAAAUCUGUAGGUUCUGGUGGAUAUGUUCACUUCAUCUUCACCAUAUGCGCAUCCUGUCUCAU